CUCAAAAGGAGUGUGACAACUGAUAUUACUCCGUUCAAGAACAUCCAUGGUAACAAUGCUAAGACCAUCUCUCUGGGCAGCAGUUGCUGCAAUGGCACUCUUCAUCACUUGUAUCACAUCGAAUCCUGUCUAUAGUGAGGAAGAGUGGAAAUCCCUCAACAACCCACAGAGCAGGAUCCUGUUUUACAGAUUCCUUCAGUCCUACUUCGACGGCAGGGACGACAACCUUUUGAAUGUGGACAAAGUGGUAGCGGGUUUGGACAGCAGGGCUGUGGAUUCUUACCUGGAGGAACAACUACACGGACUGCAGAGCAACAGUUUGCACGAUGUUUAAUUAAAGAUUAUGUUCAAUAUCAUUGUUCAGUCGGUAUUGCUCGGCAUAUUAA